rnacentral:rRNA from 1 species
GAUGAACGCUGGCGGCGUGCCUAAUACAUGCAAGUCGAGCGAACGGACGAGAAGCUUGCUUCUCUGAUGUUAGCGGCGGACGGGUGAGUAACACGUGGAUAACCUACCUAUAAGACUGGGAUAACUUCGGGAAACCGGAGCUAAUACCGGAUAAUAUUUUGAACCGCAUGGUUCAAAAGUGAAAGACGGUCUUGCUGUCACUUAUAGAUGGAUCCGCGCUGCAUUAGCUAGUUGGUAAGGUAACGGCUUACCAAGGCAACGAUGCAUAGCCGACCUGAGAGGGUGAUCGGCCACACUGGAACUGAGACACGGUCCAGACUCCUACGGGAGGCAGCAGUAGGGAAUCUUCCGCAAUGGGCGAAAGCCUGACGGAGCAACGCCGCGUGAGUGAUGAAGGUCUUCGAAUCGUAAAACUCUGUUAUUAGGGAAGAACAUAUGUGUAAGUAACUGUGCACAUCUUGAGGGUACCUAAUCAGAAAGCCACGACUAACUACGUG